rnacentral:tRNA from 1 species
UUAUUAUUAAUUUAAUUUUAAAAUUAAAAUUUGUGAAAUUUUAUUUAU